AUACUCACUUUGGCAGCACAUGUAGUAAAACUGGAACGAUACAGAGAAGAUUUGCAUGAUCCCUGCUCAAGGAUGACACACAAAUUCGUGAAGUGUUCUGUAUUUUU